GACGAACGCUGGCGGCGUGCUUAACACAUGCAAGUCGAACGCUGAAGCUUGGUGCUUGCACUGUGUGGAUGAGUGGCGAACGGGUGAGUAAUACGUGAGUAACCCGCCCUUGACUCUGGUAUAAUCCUGGGAAACGGGGUCUAAUACUGGAUACGACAUGCCACUGCAUGGUGGUGUGUGGAAAGGGGUUUACUGGUUUUGGAUGGGCUCACGGCCUAUCAGCUUGUUGGUGGGGUAAUGGCCUACCAAGGCGACGACGGGUAGCCGGCCUGAGAGGGUGACCGGCCACACUGGGACUGAGACACGGCCCAGACUCCUACGGGAGGCAGCAGUGGGGAAUAUUGCACAAUGGGCGGAAGCCUGAUGCAGCGACGCCGCGUGAGGGAUGACGGCCUUCGGGUUGUAAACCGCUUUCAGCAGGGACGAAGCGAGAGUGACGGUACGUGCAGAAGAAGCGCCGGCUAACUACGUG
rnacentral:rRNA from 1 species